rnacentral:tRNA from 1 species
GCGAAGGUGGCGAAAUAGGUAGACGCACUAGCUUCAGGGGUUAGUGUCUUGUAUGUAGACGUAAGGGUUCAAAUCCCUUCCUUCGUA